rnacentral:lncRNA from 1 species
ACGCAUCUGAAGCUUUCUAGAGCACCCCGAGGGCAAGUGGUCUCCUUAGAAAUAGUUUCCAGACUAUUUCUAAAUUGUCUGCAGUCUCAGUGAUUAUUUCCUUAACUCUCUCCUUGACUAGGUAAGAAGUAAAUGAGAAGGACUCGGCACAGGGAAAGGUCUCCUGGGAUGUGAUGGCUUCUGGGCUGAAGACAUCCAUACACGAGAGGGGACAUAAAAGGAGGGGAAAGUCUGGGUGAAGGCACUACAGUGGGACUUUGAAAACGUAGCAUGUGGCAAGUUGUAUUUUCUUGGAAAGCUUCAUCUGGCUACAAACUGAUACGUGGUUGGGAGAGCUCGCAAGAGUCUGCACAAGCUGGAACGGAGCCUGGGUAGGAACUGGUGGUGAAGAAGAAGCUUUUGAGCUGUGCUGCCGUACCGAUGGCCUGUCGAGGUGCUGUACUGUCCCAGCAGCUGCUGUCUUCUGCCCCAAGGCGCACCAGAAUGUGGCGAGGUGAAGCAGUUCCUGGCUCCCACCUGGCUUCCUUGUGAUGCUUUAGACACAGGCUGCUCUAAAACAUUGAAUCUCAUCCCUCCUGUUUCUGAGGGGGGAGUACAGGGAGUGAUUUUGUCUGUUGUGAAUACUGUAGAGUUUGCACCUAAGCAGGACAGUGGCAAAAUCCAUCUGUAAUCUCUGGGCAAGUGCAGAGAGGCAAAGGAGGGUUUAAGUUAAAGGCAGAUCCCCAGUUACCAUCACUGGACCUGACCCUGACCUGCAGUUGGCUUCUUGGCUUGACCUCGGACUUACCUCAUUACCAUGAACUUGCCUGAUGGUCUGGACUCUUAAUUGAGUCUGGCUGCUAUCCCUGGACCUGCCCUGCUUGGUACUGUGGGGCUGGACCCUGGCCGGCGAGGCCCUUGCCCUGCCAGCUGCGUUAUCGCGCUCGGCUCCCCGUCCCUCCGGGAGCAGCCGGUCCUUGCCGCUCCCUGACAUGGAGCGAGAACUGAGGCUUCCAGUAUGUGGGUGCUGGGAGGGCUGCUGCUUCCUGGCUCCUGCGAGGUCACUAAGGAGGGGCGAUUCUGCUGAAA